AUUCUGCCUUAAAAAAAAAAUAGGAAAUACUACUAUUUUUGACAACAUGGAUGAACCUGAAGGACAUUAUGUGGCUGGCAUGAUUCACUCUCAAUGGCUACUUAAUCAAAAUACAAGUUAAAAUUAACUGAGUGCUUUCCGUGCAUCCAAGACUACGCCAAGUGCUGUAUGUGUAAUUAUGUAACCUAAAUAAUCCUAUGGCAUGGGAACUUAACAGGACAGGUA
rnacentral:lncRNA from 1 species